AUAGCGUAUAUUAAAGUUGUUGCAGUUAAAAAGCUCGUAGUUGGACCUUGGGUUGGGUCGGCCGGUCCGCCUACUGGUGUGCACCGGCUGCCUCGUCCCUUCUGUCGGCGAUGCGCUCCUGGCCUUGAUUGGCCGGGACGUGCCUCCGGCGCCGUUACUUUGAAGAAAUUAGAGUGCUCAAAGCAAGCCCACGCUCUGUAUACAUUAGCAUGGGAUAACAUCACAGGAUUUCGGUCCUUUUAUGUUGGCCUUCGGGAUCGGAGUAAUGAUUAAGAGGGACAGUCGGGGGCAUUCGUAUUUCAUAGUCAGAGGUGAAAUUCUUGGAUUUAUGAAAGACGAACCACUG
rnacentral:rRNA from 1 species